rnacentral:lncRNA from 1 species
AGGUUCCAGGAGCAAGAGGCAUUUAGAAGAGGCGUGUGAAGAAGGCGGCUCAGCAGACGCGAAAAGACGAUGCUCUGUGACCUGCAGGUGCUCCUCCUCUCAGGCACAUUCUCUCAGCAGUGGAAGAGCAGCUUCUCCAGGCACUUUCCUGAGCAGCAGUGAAUGCCUGGAUAAUGACUUGGAUGAUGCCAUCCUGGCUCGUUCUGAUGAGGAAAAGCCAGAUUCUCCCACCGGACUCUCUCGUGAAGCUGAGGAUGAGCUCAUAGCAGAGGAUCUGGAAACCUCCCCAUGUUUUGUAGCAGUGGAAGUAACUAGAUAUGAGGAUGUGAAGAGUGGUAGCCUUUUAGCUUGUCCUGAAUCUGCACAGCCUCUGAGGGCUCUGGAUGAGGUUGAAAGCACAAAACCUCUUCCUCAGGCCAGUUCUUCAGCCAGCUCAAGUGAGGGGGCUGUUUUCACGAAUGAUUUGGAGAAGUCCUUGAAUAAGAGCUCUCAAAAUCAAGUAGAGUUUGGUGCAAAUUACAAUAGUCUUAGGAUUCCAGAAGCUGGUUCAGACGUAACAGCUUCUUUGAAUCUGGAGAGAGGUCUGUCUGGAAAAAUAGAUAACGAAGCAAUAAAGACGGAGACCAAUGAUUUGCCAGUAGGAAGCCAACUAGUGGCUGAACAGGAAUCAUUUGGUGCAGUGGCUGAACAGUCCUCAGGGAGAGAGACUUCCUUAAGUUACAAGCAGCUAAGAGGCACGAAUUCAAGCAACCCUCUACCUGACUUGCAUGCAGUAUUCACUCAUGUCAAUGGCCAAAGAAAGGAUUGUGUGGAAGUUCCUGAUGUUAAAAAAACAAAUAGUUUUGCAAAGCCUAAACGGAUAUUAAUUCAAGAAGCCGACCUUGAGUCAAGAAAAGCAAGAUAUGUCAAUGCUGUACUUAACCAUGCUAGCUCGGUCCCAUCACUCAUAGGCCCCGUCCAUGAGUUGCACACGCUGGUAGAUACAGUCGCAUCUGAAUCCAGUUACAACCACCCAACAGACUUGACCGUAAGGAACUACACCAAACGGAGUCACAGCAAAACUCAGAGGUUCAGUCUCAGCCAGUGGGUUGAGCAUAGCAGGCGCAACUUCGGUCGGUUUGAUGGCAUUCCUGAUCACUUUGAGCGCAGCCCCAUCCUAAGUUAGAGGAGAUUUUAUCCAAAGUUGUCCUUUAAAUGUUUAGGUACCAGUAGUUCGAUUUAAUUAGUGUUUGUGCAUGUUUACCAUUAAUAUAAAGGCCAGUUUAAUGUAUUUGUUUUUUAUUACAAAUAUUUGUUCACUUUGUCCUAGAUCUUUUUCACUGCUGAAUAUUUUAGAAAUAUUGUGUUUUUACUAUUCUAUUUGAUACUGCACCUUGAAUAUAUUAUAAAUGUUUAUUUUAAAAUUCUGGAAUCUAUUAUCCUU